GACGAACGCUGGCGGCGUGCCUAAUACAUGCAAGUCGAACGAACCGCGACUAGGUGCUUGCACUUGGUCAAGGUGAGUGGCGAACGGGUGAGUAACACGUGGGUAACCUACCUCAUAGUGGGGGAUAACAGUCGGAAACGACUGCUAAUACCGCAUAGGACAUAGGAUCACAUGAUUCUGUGAGGAAAGGUGGCGCAAGCUAUCGCUAAGAGAUGGACCCGCGGUGCAUUAGCUAGUUGGUAGGGUAAAGGCCUACCAAGGCGAUGAUGCAUAGCCGACCUGAGAGGGUGAUCGGCCACAUUGGGACUGAGACACGGCCCAAACUCCUACGGGAGGCAGCAGUAGGGAAUCUUCCGCAAAGGACGCAAGUCUGACGGAGCAACGCCGCGUGAGUGAAGAAGGUCUUCGGAUCGUAAAGCUCUGUUGUUAGAGAAGAACAGCGCAUAGAGUAACUGUUAUGCGUGUGACGGUAUCAAACCAGAAAGCCACGGCUAACUACGUG
rnacentral:rRNA from 1 species